rnacentral:rRNA from 1 species
CCUUAGAGUUUGGAUCCUGGCUCAGAACGAACGCUGGCGGCACGUUUAAGCAUGCAAGUCGAACGGUAGAGGGAGCUUGCUCCCUUGAGAGUGGCGAACGGGUGAGUAACACGUAGGUGAUCUACCUUUUGGUUGGGGAUAGCCUGUGGAAACACAGGGUAAUACCGAAUAAGGUUCGAGUCCUUUGGGAUUAGAAAGAAAGGGGCGUAUGCCUCGCCGGAAGAUGAGCCUGCGGUUGAUUAGCUAGUUGGUGGGGUAAAGGCCUACCAAGGCGACGAUCAAUAGCCGGCCUGAGAGGGUGGACGGCCACACUGGAACUGAGACACGGUCCAGACUCCUACGGGAGGCAGCAGCUAAGAAUCUUCCGCAAUGGGCGAAAGCCUGACGGAGCGAUGCCGCGUGGAUGACGAAGGUCGAGAGAUUGUAAAAUCCUUUUCCUGAUGAGGAAUAAGUGUUGGAGGAAAUGCCAGCAUGAUGACGUUAGUCAGGGAAUAAGCCCCGCCAUACG